rnacentral:rRNA from 1 species
AAGGAAUAUUGGUCAAUGGGCGCAAGCCUGAACCAGCCAUGCCGCGUGCAGGAAGACGGCCCUAUGGGUUGUAAACUGCUUUUGUCAGGGAAUAAACCCCCGUACGUGUACGGGGCUGAAGGUACCUGAAGAAUAAGCAUCGGCUAACUCCGUGCCAGCAGCCGCGGUAAUACGGAGGAUGCAAGCGUUAUCCGGAUUCAUUGGGUUUAAAGGGUGCUCAGGCGGGGGAUUAAGUCGGCGGUGAAAUUUUGCAGCUCAACUGUAAAAGUGCCUUCGAAACUGGUGUCCUGGAGUGCGGAUGAGGUAGGCGGAAUUUGUGGUGUAGCGGUGAAAUGCAUAGAUAUCACGAGGAACUCCGAUUGCGCAGGCAGCUUACCAAGCCGUAACUGACGCUCAAGCACGAAGGCGUGGGGAUCAAACA